rnacentral:rRNA from 1 species
UACGAGGGGGGCUAGCGUUGCUCGGAAUCACUGGGCGUAAAGCGCACGUAGGCGGACUCUUAAGUCGGUGGUGAAAUCCUGGAGCUCAACUCCAGAACUGCCUCCGAUACUGGGAGUCUUGAGUCCGGGAGAGGUGAGUGGAACUGCGAGUGUAGAGGUGAAAUUCGUAGAUAUUCGCAAGAACACCAGUGGCGAAGGCGGCUCACUGGCCCGGUACUGACGCUGAGGAGCGAAAGCGUGGGGAGCGAACAGG